GACGAACGCUGGCGGCGUGCCUAAUACAUGCAAGUAGAACGCACAGUUUAUACCGUAGCUUGCUACACCAUAGACUGUGAGUUGCGAACGGGUGAGUAACGCGUAGGUAACCUGCCUGGUAGCGGGGGAUAACUAUUGGAAACGAUAGCUAAUACCGCAUAAUAUUGAUUAUUGCAUGAUAAUUGAUUGAAAGAUGCUAUUGCAUCACUACCAGAUGGACCUGCGUUGUAUUAGCUAGUAGGUGAGGUAACGGCUCACCUAGGCGACGAUACAUAGCCGACCUGAGAGGGUGAUCGGCCACACUGGGACUGAGACACGGCCCAGACUCCUACGGGAGGCAGCAGUAGGGAAUCUUCGGCAAGGGACGAAAGUCUGACCGAGCAACGCCGCGUGAGUGAAGAAGGGUUUCGGAUCGUAAAGCUCUGUUGUAAGAGAAGAACGGGUGUGAGAGUGGAAAGUUCACACUGUGACGGUAUCUUACCAGAAAGGGACGGCUAACUACGUG
rnacentral:rRNA from 1 species